CUGCCAGUAUUGACAAGCUGAUUAACUCUGAGAUUAGUUGACCAUCUCUGUGAUUUUAAAAGGGGAUAAUACCCAAUAUCACAGUGACUGUGGAGAAUAAAUAUAAUACCAAUAAAAGUGCUCUCUAAGUCAUAAAGCACUGUCUGAGUUUAAAGUAUCAUAUACCCUCCACUUAAAAUAUAGUACCAGAAGCAGUGGUUGAAUUGAAGUAUGUGUCAUGAUUGGACAAAUUAUAAUUAAGGUCAGUAUAAUUUGGGCAUUAGCCCAGAUAAGAGAGAAUCUCAUUACUGCACAAAUCUCCAUAGAACCUAGUAAUGCUCCUCAACUCACUGAUGUUAGAAAAUAGAGCCUUUGCCCAUCAGUGCUCCUUUUCAACACAAAGCAGAGACCUUGUGAAGAAGGCGCAGGAAAGCCCGUGUUGGCAUGCACUGGGGGAAGAAAAAUGCUGAAGCCUGUGAUCAGUGGACAACCCAAGGAGAGGGAUUCACACAAACCCAUGGAUAUUAAAGAAGGCUACAGGGACAUCUUAGAAAACCCCUGGGACAGAGGGAAACCUGAGCCAGAACAGCCUAGAAGCAAAUUAAGAGAAACUCAAGUCACACUCUUUGUGAAUACUUCAACCACAUUCAUACAUUAAGCCCAUAAAUGUUUGCAGAAAUGAAGUGGCCAAACCAAGCAGUUGGUGAUGAAAGCAGGACAGCAGAUUUACCACCAACCACUAAAGCCUCUCAGGAUCUGAAUGGAGCUAACCAAGAAGUUGAGGGAGUUAUAAGCACAAGUCUGGCUGUACUAUGGCUGAACCAGCUACAUGUCUCCAUCGAGAGGAUGUGUUAAAACUGCUUCACCGUUUCUUUGCUGGAUGGUUACUAUGACAACACCAUGUGUGUUAGAAGAUCGAUGUGUUAUGACAUAUUGAUCCUCACUAAAUAUUUAUGGGUCUCAGCCUUUGGAAUGCAUGGUAGUAUUGCACUUUCCUGUCCCCUUUGAAAUUAGGGUGCCCACAUGACUUGCUCUGGCUAAUGAAGAAAGGGUGGAAGGGAGAGAUGUUGAUUCUGAGCAGAAGGCUUAGGAGCUAGCGUGUGAGGAGCUACAUCCUCUUCCCAGCUUGGUGGCUGUGGAGGGGCUCUACCAGGCUGUGUUCCCAGUGCCUCUGAUGAGCUGAGGUCUCGCCCAAAGCUUGUUGGAAAUGUAAACAAGAAAUAAACUUUUGUUGUGUUUGUUGUA